UGACCUCAAAUCAGGUAGGACUGCCCGCUGAACUUAA
rnacentral:rRNA from 1 species